AGCUCUGAACAGUGACAGUAUCGUAGCCAAUGAGGUUUAUCUGAGGUGUGAUUAUUGCUAACUGAAUAAAUAAUCAAAUCACUGUGC
rnacentral:snRNA from 1 species